GCUGGGUGUGGUGGCGCACGCCUGUAAUCCCAGCUACUCAGGAGGCUGAGGCAGGAGAAUCACUUGAACCCAGGAGGUGGAGGUUGCAGUGAGCCAAGAUCACACCACUGCACUCCAGCCUGGGUGACAGAGGGAGACUCCGUCUCAA
rnacentral:SRP_RNA from 1 species